rnacentral:rRNA from 1 species
UACGAAGGGGGCUAGCGUUGCUCGGAAUCACUGGGCGUAAAGCGCACGUAGGCGGAUUGUUAAGUAAGGGGUGAAAUCCUGGAGCUCAACUCCAGAACUGCCUUUGAUACUGGCGAUCUCGAGUCCGGGAGAGGUGAGUGGAACUGCGAGUGUAGAGGUGAAAUUCGUAGAUAUUAGCAAGAACACCAGUGGCGAAGGCGGCUCACUGGCCCGGUACUGACGCUGAGGUGCGAAAGCGUGGGGAGCAAACAGG